GAGUACAUAGUUAAAAAGAAGUAGAAAAAACAAUGUGAUUUGCAAAAUGUCUUCAUGGUCCUGUCAGCCACAUGCUGAGUGCUGAAAUGGGCCUUUGAAACCACAGGUAGACACGUUUUCUUCAGACAGUGCUAUGUUUUAAAUUUCUUUUUCAAAUCCAAAUGCCUUAUAAUAGGGCAGUAUAUAAACUCCCCUAUGUAUCACAGACCUCAUCAUUACCUACAUUUUACAUAGGGUGUUUCACAUAUUUAUUUAACUGCUCAAAUCCUGAUGAUAUUUCAGUUUAAAACUAUUGUGAUCUAGAAGUUUAUUACUAAGUGGGUAUUGGUUAAUUCUGAAGUUUCUUCCUCAGACUCUAAAAUAAAAAUAUCAAAUAAAAUGUCAUGACAGUAAGAAUCCUUCUGAAUGAGAAUUAUAUUAAAUACAAGUUAUUCCUAUGAAGGGUUGUAGUUUGCAACAGAUUCUGCUGUAAUUCAUUUAAUGAGUAUUUUUGUCAGAUACCUACACGCCAGUCACUAUUCUCAGUCCUGAAAACAAAGUAUGAGCAGCAGACAAAAACCCCUGGCUGCAUAUAACUUAUAAUCUAGUGCAUAUAGACAGAAAAACCAUCAAGUAGAAGAUACAAUAUGUUCCAUGACAUGGAGAAUGGAAAUAGAAAUGAGAUGAGGCAGUGCAGUUUUAAAAGGGUGUUUAGAGGAAGCCAGGGUGGCCACCUUCAGCCCAGCGCGUGAUCCUGGAGACCCGGGAUCCCUGCGUGGAGCCUGCUUCUCCUUCUGCCUGUGUCUCUGCCUCUCUCUCUCUAUGUCUCUCAUGAAUAAGUAAAUAAAAUCUAUUUUAAAAAUAAUAAAAAUAAAAGGGUGUUUACAGAAAGCCUCCUUCGUAAGAAGGAAAAAACUCUGUGGACAUCUGGGGAAGGAUUUCUCUAGGCAAAAGCAAAGACCAUAGGCGGUACUGAGCCAGCAAAUUCAAGGCACAGCAAAUAGGCCAAUAUCCUUAGAAACCACAAAAGAAGAAUGUAUGACAAAAGAGAGAUCAAGUUACUGAAGGAUACCAGAACUAAUAGGUAGAAACUGGGGGCAUUAGGGAUCCCUGGGUGGCGCAGCGGUUUAGUGCCUGCCUUUGGCCCAGGGUGCGAUCCUGGAGACCCGGGAUCGAAUCCCACAUCGGGCUCCCUGCAUGGAGCCUGCUUCUCCCUCUGCCUGUGUCUCUGCCUCUCUCUCUCUGUGUGUGUGACUAUCAUAAAUAAAUAAAAAUUAAAAAAAAAAAAAAGAAACAGGGGCAUUAAGAAUGGAUGCUAGAAGAGACAUAUUUUAAACCUAAAUGAUUUAAAGACUUACACUGCUUUAAAAUGUAGUGAAAUGUUUCCAAAAUUGAAUUUUUCAAAAAGAAGUCAGAUCUAUGAUUCAAUCCCCAAUGGUUGGUUCUGUGGCUAUAAUUUGAACUCUAAAUAUUAAAAACGUACGUUUGAUGUCAGUUCCUCCUGGACACCCAACUGAUUUCUUUGGGGCCUUCAGUAUACUCUAAAAACACUUUGCCUAUCACUGGCCUUAAUCCCUUGUCUCUGGGUCUGAAAGUGAAACUCCUCAAGUAAUAAAGAGUUGCAGGUACACGACAUUGCCAUUGGAUUAUUUUUAGUGAAAGCUUUGCCUCCUUAGACAGAUAUACCAAGGAACUUAACACCAGUGAACUUAACAAGGGGAUACCAUCCCAGGGAUACCGCCAUAUGUAAAAUGAUUUCAUAUAUUGAUUAUCCCAUUUCAAUUAUUUCAUCUACAAGUCCAACAAAAAGAAAAUUAUUUUUUUAAUUUUUUUAUUUUUUUAAAGAUUUAUUUACUUAUUUAUGAUAGACAUAGAGAGAGAGAGAGAGAGAGGCAGAGACACAGGCAGAGGGAGAAGCAGGCUCCAUGCCGGGAACCCGACGCGGGACUCGAUCCCAGAACUCCAGGAUCGUACCCUGGGCCAAAGGCAGGCGCCAAACCGCUGAGCCACCCAGGGAUCCCCAAAAAGAAAAUUCUAAAUAAAAAGAUACAUUUGGAAUUGUAAAUGUGGCAUUCAUCCACAUACAACUAGGAAUGAAAUUAUUUAAUGAAAAAUUUCAAAUUCAACCAACUCUACAAAUAUAAGAUAGUCUGAAGAGAAGGAACAGUCCUGACUUUGCAUUAUAUUUUAGUACUGUUGUUUUCUCAUAAUCCCCAUGCUUUUUUCCUGUCCUGCUAUUCUUCAAGAUUUCCUAAUGAGGAUUGGGGAACAAGUGUAUUUAACAAUCUGUAUUUGCAGGUUGGAAACAAGAAAAUGAAGACUAAUAGUUUCUCUCCUGCUAAUUUGAUUUUCUACAGCUCCUCUCCUACCAGCAUAGGUAAAGGACUUAGUUACUAUUUCUAGCAGAUGGGGCCAAGGAAGAGACAAGCAUCUGUGAUGUCAUGCUUCCCCCGAAAUGGGCCAGCUGCCCUACAGGCCUCCAUUAGAGACUUCCCUAAGAGUAAUAAAUGAGAAGUGAUCAUGAACAGAAUGAGAAAAAAAAAA
rnacentral:lncRNA from 1 species